rnacentral:lncRNA from 1 species
GGUAGACAGCCUGUUUCCAUUCCAGGCCCCUUUUGGUUUGCUGAAUUGCAAGAAUCGAAAGGCCACUCCGGCUAGAAUCCAGUUUGACUUGAAUUGCUGAUGGAAUGUCCUUUUCCUAUUCUACUGUUUUGUUGCCAAAAGGGAAAGCCUACAAGUAAGAUUGGUCCAGAAAAUCCACUACCAAGAGAGGGAGGGAGAGACGUAGAUGGAGAGAGAGGUGGUGAUGAGUAGAGGCAGACUGUUACGGAGCUGUGG